rnacentral:rRNA from 1 species
GACGAACGCUGGCGGCGUGCUUAACACAUGCAAGUCGAACGGAAAGGCCCUGCUUGCAGGGUACUCGAGUGGCGAACGGGUGAGUAACACGUGGGUGAUCUGCCCUUCACUUCGGGUUAAGCCUGGGAAACUGGGUCUAAUACCCGAUAGGAGCCAUUUUGAGUGCGAUGGUUGGAAAGUUUUUUCGGUGUAGGAUGAGCUCGCGGCCUAUCAGCUUGUUGGUGGGGUAAUGGCCUACCAAGGCGGCGAUGGGUAGCCGGCCUGGGAGGGUGGACGGCCACCUUGGGACUGCGGUACGGCCCAGUCUCCUACGGGAGGCAGCGGUGGGAAAUAUUGCCCAAUGGGCGCACGCCUGAUGCAGCGACGCCGCGUGGGGGAUGACCGCCUUCGGGUUAUAAACUCCUUUCGCUAGGGACGAAGCUUUUGUGACGGUACCUAGAUAAGAAGCACCGGCUAACUACGUG